GGUAAGCAGAACUGGCGC
rnacentral:piRNA from 1 species